AGUGAACGCUGGCGGUAGGCCUAACACAUGCAAGUCGAACGGCAGCACAGUAAGAGCUUGCUCUUACGGGUGGCGAGUGGCGGACGGGUGAGGAAUACAUCGGAAUCUACUUUUUCGUGGGGGAUAACGUAGGGAAACUUACGCUAAUACCGCAUACGACCUACGGGUGAAAGCAGGGGAUCUUCGGACCUUGCGCGAUUGAAUGGGCCGAUGUCGGAUUAGCUAGUUGGCGGGGUAAAGGCCCACCAAGGCGACGAUCCGUAGCUGGUCUGAGAGGAUGAGCAGCCACACUGGAAGUGAGACACGGUCCAGACUCCAACGGGAGGCAGCAGUGAGGAAUAUUGGACAAUGGGCGCAAGCCUGAUCCAGCCAUACCGCGUGGGUGCAGAAGGCCUUCGGGUUGUAAAGCCCUUUUGUUGGGAAAGAAAAGCAGCAGGUUAAUACCCCGCUGUUCUGACGGUACCCAAAGAAUAAGCACCGGCUAACUUCGUG
rnacentral:rRNA from 1 species